rnacentral:rRNA from 1 species
CUACGGGAUGCUCCAGUUAGGGAACUUUUCCAAUGCGCGCAAGCGUGAGAAAGCGAGUCAGAGUGAUUUUGAUAUAAUUUCAGAAUCUUUUGUUUGUUGCAAAAAGACAGAUGAAUAAGGAGUGGGCAAGACCGGUGCCAGCCGCCGCGGUAAUCCCGGCGCUCCAAGUCGCAGCCACAGUUAUUGGGUCUAAAACAUUCGUAGCUUGUUUUGUAAGUUCCUUGUGAAAUCUUAGCUCUUAAGGUUAAGGCGUGCAAGGAAUACUGCUUAACUAGAGACCGGAAGAAGUAAGAAGUAUGGUUUAGGUAGCGGUAAAAUGUGUUAAUCUUUACCAGACUAACAAUAGCGAAGGCAUCUUACUAGUACGGAUCUGACAGUGAGGAAUGAAGGCUAGGGUCGCGAAAAGGAUUAGAUACCCGCGUAGUC